GUAGGUGGCAAGCGUUGUCCGGAAUUAUUGGGCGUAAAGCGCGCGCAGGCGGUUCUUUAAGUCUGAUGUGAAAGCCCACGGCUCAACCGUGGAGGGUCAUUGGAAACUGGAGAACUUGAGUACAGAAGAGGAAAGCGGAAUUCCACGUGUAGCGGUGAAAUGCGUAGAGAUGUGGAGGAACACCAGUGGCGAAGGCGACUUUCUGGUCUGUAACUGACGCUGAGGCGCGAAAGCGUGGGGAGCAAACAGGGAUUAGAUACCCUGGUAGUCCACGCCGUAAACGAUGAGUGCUAAGUGUUAGGGGGUUUCCGCCCCCUUAGUGCUGCAGCUAACGCAUUAAGCACUCCGCCUGGGGAUACGGCCGCAAGGCUG
rnacentral:rRNA from 1 species